rnacentral:rRNA from 1 species
AACGAACGCUGGCGGCAGGCUUAACACAUGCAAGUCGAACGCCCCGCAAGGGGAGUGGCAGACGGGUGAGUAACGCGUGGGAAAGUACCCUUUACUACGGAAUAACUCAGGGAAACUUGUGCUAAUACCGUAUGUGCCCUUUGGGGGAAAGAUUUAUCGGUAAAGGAUCGGCCAGCGUUGGAUUAGCUAGUUGGUGGGGUAAAGGCCUACCAAGGCGACGAUCCAUAGCUGGUCUGAGAGGAUGAUCAGCCACAUUGGGACUGAGACACGGCCCAAACUCCUACGGGAGGCAGCAGUGGGGAAUAUUGGACAAUGGGCGCAAGCCUGAUCCAGCCAUGCCGCGUGAGUGAUGAAGGCCCUAGGGUUGUAAAGCUCUUUCACCUGUGAAGAUAAUGACGGUAACCGGAGAAGAAGCCCCGGCUAACUUCGUGCCAGCAGCCGCGGUAAAAC